UCCCUCUCAGGAUCGCACCUGGAGAGUUUCUAGUACUCUACCAGUCUUGACUACGGAAGGGAGAGUCAAGCAGAGGCCUACCCAUUCUUAGCUUGGGCAGUGGCUAGCGAGUGGAAGACAAUCUGCUACAAGU